rnacentral:rRNA from 1 species
GUGGGGAAUAUUGGACAAUGGGCGAAAGCCUGAUCCAGCCACGCCGCGUGUGUGAUGAAGGUCUUCGGAUCGUAAAGCACUGUGGAGAGGGAAGAACAGCCAGCGGGAAUAAUACCCCGUUGGUCCGACGGUACCUCUUUAGCAAGCACCGGCCAACUCCGUGCCAGCAGCCGCGGUAAUACGGAGGGUGCAAACGUUGCUCGGAAUCAUUGGGCGUAAAGCGCGUGUAGGCGGCUCGUUAAGUUGAGUGUGAAAGCCCUGGGCUUAACCCAGGAAGUGCGCUCAAAACUGGCGAGCUAGAGUACGGGAGAGGGUAGUGGAAUUCCCGGUGGAGAGGUGAAAUUCGUAGAUAUCGGGAGGAACACCAGUGGCGAAGGCGGCUACCUGGACCGAUACUGACGCUGAGACGCGAAAGCGUGGGUAGCAAACAGGAUUAGAUACCCUGGUAGUCC